GAUGAACGCUGGCGGCGUGCUUAACACAUGCAAGUCGAACGGUGAAGCAGGAGCUUGCUCUUGUGGAUCAGUGGCGAACGGGUGAGUAACACGUGAGCAACCUGCCCCUGACUCUGGGAUAAGCGCUGGAAACGGCGUCUAAUACUGGAUAUGUGAUGUGACCGCAUGGUCUGCAUCUGGAAAGAAUUUCGGUUGGGGAUGGGCUCGCGGCCUAUCAGCUUGUUGGUGAGGUAAUGGCUCACCAAGGCGCCGACGGGUAGCCGGCCUGAGAGGGUGACCGGCCACACUGGGACUGAGGCACGGCCCAGACUCCUACGGGAGGCAGCAGUGGGGAAUAUUGCACAAUGGGCGGAAGCCUGAUUCAGCAACGCCGCGUGAGGGAUGACGGCCUUCGGGUUGUAAACCUCUUUUAGCAGGGAAGAAGCGAAAGUGACGGUACCUGCAGAAAAAGCACCGGCUAACUACGUGCCAGCCGCCGCCGUAA
rnacentral:rRNA from 1 species